AUGAAGCUAAAGCAACGAGUCCUGCUGUUAGCAACACUCCUUGUCAUCUCUAUCUUCACCAAAGUUUUCCUGAUUGAUAACUUAGAUACAUCUGCUGCCAACCGAGAAGACCAGAGGGCUUUUCACCAAACGAUGAGUGGCUUGCAGGUGGAGUUGGUACCUAAGCUGGACCACACCCUGCAGUCUCCUUGGGUAAUUGCAGCCCAGUGGGUAGUGCCCUGGGAAGUGUACCCUGAAGAGCCUCCAGAGCUGGGGGCAAUCAUGCAUGCCAUGGCCACUAAGAAAAUCAUUAAAGCUGAUGUGGGCUAUAAAGGGACCCAGCUAAAAGCUUUACUGAUACUUGAAGGAGGACAGAAAGUUGUCUUCAAACCUAAGUGAUAUAGCCAAGACUAUGUGGUAGAAGGGGAGCCAUAUGCUAGCUGUGACAGACACAAUGCAGAGGUAGCAGCCUUUCAUUUGGACAGGAUUUUGGGUUUCCAUCGAGCUCUCUUGGUGGUUGGCAGAUUUGUUAAUCUGUGGACAGAGAUCAAGCCUGUUGCCACGGAGCAGCUGUUGAGCACCUUCCUAACUAUAGGAAACAAUUCUUGUUUUUAUGGGAAGUGCUAUUACUGCCAAGAAACAGAGCCAGCAUGUGCUGAUGGAGACACAAUGGAGGGAUCCAUCACACUUUGGUUUCCAGAUGUGUCGCCUCUGCAGAAACAUCGACACCUCUGGGGCAAAUUGGCCAGAUGGGAAUAUGAUGAGAGCUACUGUGAUGCUGUGAAGAAAACAUCUCCCUAUGACUCAGGCCCUCAUCUCUUGGGCAUCAUUGACACUGCUGUCUUUGAUUAUUUGAUUGGUAAUGCUGACCGCCAUUGCUAUGAAAGCAUUCAAGACGGUGAAGGUGUGAGUAUGCGUAUUCUUCUUGAUGAUGCCAAAAGCUUUGGGAACCCGUCGCUGGAUGAGAGAAGCAUUCUUGCCCCACUCUACCAGUGUUGCAUCAUUUGGGUUUCUACGUGGAAUAGACUGAACUACCUAAAGAAUGGAGUGCUAAAGUCUGCCUUAAAAUCUGCCAUGGUCCAUGACCCCAUCUCCCCCAUGCUCUCUGAUCCUCACUUGGGUGCUGUGGACCAGUGGCUUCUGAGUGUCCUGGACACCAUGAAGCAGUGCACUGAGCAGUUUUGGAUGGACACUGUGCUGGUGGAAAACAGGUUGCCUCUCUCCCACUUGUAAUUGUCAAUACAAAAUAAGUGAAACUUGUUUUUACAAGUAUAAACAGCACAGUCAAUUCCAAAUGGCAUGCAAGGCCGGGAAGUGGCCAGCAGCAAGCUGUGGUGGCAGAGGACAGAGUAGUCUUGGAAGCACUUGUGUCCUCUGUAGUGGAAGUUAAAGCAAAGACUACAAGUUUGAGAGCACAAGCCUUGUCUGUGGAAUCACCUUCUGACUCCUCAGCAUUUCUGGCAGCACACCAGCUUUGGUCAGUCUUUAUUCCCAUGGCAAAGGAUGAACAGAACAGUGACAUUUGGAUAGGGGAAUCCUGUAUUGCUUCCAGAGUGUGUGUUUUGAGUGAACCUUGCAGUUCUUUCCCGCACCUGUGAAUUUAAACACUGCAAUCUCUUUUGUCUUUUUCUUUUAACCAUGACCAAAUUGGAAAACUUACUGCCUCUUCCAGAGUGGCAGCAAAUAAAACCUUUCAUUCUGUUGAUCAAAAAAAAAAAAAAGCUGGGAGGGGCACUUGGGUGUACCUCAGGGUUUUUGCCUAGCAUGCCUACUGCCUUGGCUUCAACUCCUAGUACCACAAUACAAACAACAAACCUACACAAAAUAAAGAGAAGAGAGUUCUUGAACUUACCUUGAACUUCAAGAUAAACUGUGUACUUUACUUUUAAACAGUGUUCCGAAUUUUUUGACUGUUGAGGGGA